UUUUUUUUUUUUAAGAUUUUAUUUAUUCAUAAGAGAUACAGAGAGAGAGAGGCAGAGACAUAGGCAGAGGGAGAAGCAGGAUCCAGGCAGGGAGCCCGACGUGGGACUCGAUCCUUGAACUCUAGAACCAUGCCCUGAGUCAAAGGCAGACCUUUAACAGCUGAGCCACCCAGGCAUCCCUCAAUUUAACUAUUUAAAAAUCUUUUUCAAAUUAGGUUCCUAUAAAAAAUUUUAAAUGUCAAUUUCUUCCUUUUAAAUUACAGAAAGAUACUAUAACUCAAUGAGUUGGUAUUCAAACGUAGAAUAUAAAUAUUUGAAUAAUGAUUUAUUAAACCCAACAAUUUAUUUGUAAAGGCAAUUUUUACAAUUAUUAUUUAAAUAGUAAUCUGUUCGCAACAACAUGGAUGGAUUAGAAAGUAUAACGCUAAGUAAAAUAAGUCAGUCAGAAAAAAGACAAAUACCAUAUGAUUUCACUCAUAUGUGGAAUUUAAGAAACAGAGGAAAAAAGAGACAAAUCAAAAAAAUUCUUUUUUUAAUAUUAUUAUUUUUUAAAUAUUUUAUUUAUUCAUGAGAGACACAGAGAGAGAGAGAGGCAGAGACACAGGCAGAGGGAGAAGCAGACUCCAUGCAGGGAGCCCGAUGUGGGACUCGAUCCCGGGUCUCCAGGAUCAGACCCUGGGCUGAAGGCAGGCGCUCAACCGCUGAGCCACCCGGGCUGCCCCAAAAAACAUUCUUAACUAUAGAGAACAAACUGAUGGUUACCAGAAGGUAGGUGGGUGGAAGGGUAGGUGAAAGAGGUGAAGGGGAUUAAGAGUACACUCAUCUGAUAAGCACUGAGUUAUGUAUAGAAUUGUUGAAUCACUAUACUGUACAUCUGAAACUUCUAUAACACUGUAAGAUACCUAUCCUGGAAUUAAAAUUUUAAAAAUAAGUAAUAUAGUCUGGCAACUCAAAAAUUCUACGUGCAUCCUUAAUAUCAGGCAAUUCACAAAAUAGUUACAUAAGAGUAAACUCCACUAAUUGGAAAUUCCGCUUAGAAUCUCUUCAUACUUUUUAUUUUCUAUUACUAUUACUUAUCACUACUUAUUCUAUACUAUUUUAUUUAGUUAGCUGGGGCUGCUAUAACAAAAAUACCAUAUUUUUUAUGGGUGGCUUAAACAACAUAUAUUUCUCACAGUUCUGGAGGCUGGGAAGUCCAAGAGGAAGUGCCUACUGAAGCUCCACUUCCUGGUUUAGAGUGCUGCCUUAUCAUGUAUUCACGUGGUUCUCUCCCUCUUCUUCUUCUAAGGGCACUAAUCCCAUUAAGAGGAUCCCACCAUCAUAACACGGUCUAAACUUAUUUCCCAAAGUUCCCACCUCUUAAUACCAUCACAUUGGGAAUUAGGGUUUCAACUUAUGAUUUGGGGGCAGGAGCAUGUUAAUUUCACUUCAUAACACUAAUGGGACAGGAUGAAAAAUUUCUCAAUCUCAUAAAGUGGUAUAAUUUUCUUUUAAAAAAAAGAUG
rnacentral:lncRNA from 1 species